UACGUAGGGGGCGAGCGUUGUCCGGAAUCAUUGGGCGUAAAGAGCGUGUAGGUGGACUGUAAGGUCUGGUGUGAAAGCCCGGGGCUCAACCCCGGAGGGUCACUGGAAACCAACAGUCUUGAGUCUGGAAGAGGAGAGUGGAAUUCCUGGUGUAGCGGUGGAAUGCGCAGAUAUCAGGAGGAACACCAAUGGCGAAGGCAGCUCUCUGGUACAUGACUGACACUGAGACGGCGAAAGCGUGGGGAGCGAACAGG
rnacentral:rRNA from 1 species